CCUACGGGAGGCAGCAGUGAGGAAUAUUGGUCAAUGGACGAGAGUCUGAACCAGCCAAGUAGCGUGAAGGAUGACUGCCCUAUGGGUUGUAAACUUCUUUUAUAUGGGAAUAAAAUGUUCCACGUGUGGGAUUUUGUAUGUACCAUAUGAAUAAGGAUCGGCUAACUCCGUGCCAGCAGCCGCGGUAAUACGGAGGAUCCGAGCGUUAUCCGGAUUUAUUGGGUUUAAAGGGAGCGUAGGUGGAUUGUUAAGUCAGUUGUGAAAGUUUGCGGCUCAACCGUAAAAUUGCAGUUGAAACUGGCAGUCUUGAGUACAGUAGAGGUGAGCGGAAUGCGUGGUGUAGCGGUGAAAUGCUUAGAUAUCACGAAGAACUCCGAUUGCGAAGGCAGUUCACUGGACUGCAACUGACACUGAGGCUCGAAAGUGUGGGUAUCAAACAGGAUUAGAUACCCCUGUAGUC
rnacentral:rRNA from 1 species